AUGGCGUUCAACACGAAGCUUCUUUUGGCCAUUUGCUGCGUCGCAUUGGUCUUCACUCUUGUCUUUGCAAACAUUUCUGAAGAAGAGAUCGAUGGCUUCGUCGAGGAGCACAACAAGGCUCGUAAAGAGGUCGGCAACAAACCCCUCAAGUGGAAUACGACCUUGGCCCAGUAUGCCCAAGAAUAUGCGGAUAAAAGAGUUGGCGACUGCGCCAUGGAGCACUCGAUGGGGCGUUGGGGUGAGAACUUGGCCUCCGGCGACGGCAUGAGCGGCGCAGCGGCCACCAAAUAUUGGGUCACUGAGAAGGAGUUCUAUGACGAAAAGUCCAACAAAUGCGUCAAAGACGAAUGUGGUCACUACCUUGCUGUGGUAUGGGGCAAAACCACCGAGGUCGGAUGUGGCAUUUCAAAGUGCAACAAUGGACAGAACUAUGUGGUUUGCAGCUACGAUCCCAUGUACCAGCCUGAGGACGAGCGCCCCUACUAG
rnacentral:lncRNA from 1 species